rnacentral:lncRNA from 1 species
GCAAGUCCCCAGGGCUCAGUAAGCACCAGCUACUAUCAUUGCCCAACUCUUGAAAAGAGAUGCAGCCAAAGAACAACCACAUCUCAGGAAGGGCCUCAGAGUGUGGCAAAUGAGGACUUCUCAGACUUACUAUGUGUAGUUUCAACACCGACUGAAGACCCAAAUGUCCAUCUUUUGUCAAGGUAUGUGAUUUUGUUGAGGUCCAGUUUGGGUGGCAGAAACUAAGACACUGAGCUGAUGAGAGAACUUGUUGCUUUUCGCCCUGCGCAUUUAUUUAUUUAUUUAUUUAUUUAUUUUUGUAUUUUUAGUAGAGACAGAGUUUCACCAUGUUGGCCAGGCUGGUCUCAAACUCCUGACCUCAAAUGAU